rnacentral:rRNA from 1 species
UACGGAGGAUGCAAGCGUUAUCCGGAUUUAUUGGGUUUAAAGGGUGCGUAGGCUGUUCGUCAAGUCAGAGGUGAAAUACCUGAGCCUAACUCAGGAACUGCCUUUGAUACUGGCGAGCUGGAAUACGGAUGCCGUGGGAGGAAUGAGUAGUGUAGCGGUGAAAUGCAUAGAUAUUACUCAGAACACCGAUUGCGAAGGCAUCUCACGAAUCCGUCAUUGACGCUGAGGCACGAAAGCGUGGGGAU